UACGUAGGGGGCUAGCGUUGUCCGGAAUCAUUGGGCGUAAAGCGCGCGUAGGCGGCCCGGUAAGUCCGCUCUGAAAGUCCAGGGCUCAACCCUGGAAUGCGGGUGGAUACUGCCGGGCUAGAGUCCGGAAGAGGCGAGUGGAAUUCCUGGUGUAGAGGUGAAAUUCGUAGAUAUCGGGAGGAACACCGGUGGCGAAGGCGGCGACCUGGGUAGAUACUGACGCUGAGGCGCGAAAGCGUGGGGAGCAAACAGG
rnacentral:rRNA from 1 species